UACAGAGGCCCCAAGCAUUACCCGGAAUCACUGGGCGUAAAGGGUGUGUAGGCGGUCGUAUUAGUCUUUCGUAAAAGCACUCGGGCUUAACCCGGGUAAUGCGGGAGAAACGGUACGGCUACGAGGAUGCGAGAGGUAUAGGGAACUCAUGGUGUAGGGGUGAAAUCCGUUGAUAUCAUGGGGAACACCAAAAGCGAAGGCACUAUACUGGCGCACUCCUGACGCCGAAACACGAAAGCGUGGGAAUCGAACGGG
rnacentral:rRNA from 1 species